rnacentral:lncRNA from 1 species
GUGUUGGGAGCAAUGCUACAUAAUUCUAGGGAUAAAUCAUUUGGUUAGCCUAGUUCUCUUGCCUACAGCCCAGCUACAGAAUAACUCCAGUUUGGCCUCCGGUCACAACUGAGACUUCAGUGAUCCAGUGAUGCUGUGAUUCUCCAGGACAAGAAACAUCCUGGGAGAACAAACAUCUGCUCAGUUCCUCAUUGUUCUUGGACUGAUUAACAUCUCGUUUACCGGAGAUGUACUGAACUCUCUGCAAGCCUUCCGUUACACCUUGUUUAUCCCAAUGUGAACUAUUGAACUCUCUGCAAGUCAUUUGUUACAUUUGUUUCUCCGGAUGUACUGAAUAAAAGGUGUGGUAAGCUGGGGGCUUUGUCUUUGCUGCCCAGAGCAGCACUCAUCAGAACCAAAGCUCAGCUUCUUCUCAGUCUCAUUUUUCUACCUUUCCUGUAAUUCGCUGUGUGCUGCCGUGGCUUGCAGGAGACCAGGACUAACUGCAGAGGUUCUGGUAAUGUCCCCUUCCCCUGUCCCCUACAUUUGGUGCCCAACGUGGAUGUGAAUCGGAUCCAGGGGUGAACUCACCUGUGAGACAAACUUGGAGUAAGAGAGACAGCACACGGAUCUCCCAGGACGAUUUCCGGACUAGGACGAGGGACACCAGUGAUCCUUCCACUGCUUACUUUGACUAUGAAAAAAUGACAAGUUGGAGGAUGGUCUUGCUAUCCAGGGAUUCAAAUGUACUAUGUAUUUGAAGAGGCAAGAGUAGAGGUACUAUGCAGACUGAAGCAGUCAUCAAAGCAAGCUAUGCAACUGCUAACAUAGGACAAGUAUGACUUAUGGAACUCAAUAAAAUUAUCCAACAGCUAUCAAUCAAACAGCUAGCAUCUCACUGACAUUUUGUUGAUCUCGGGCAAUGACAGCUGCCACUGUCUUGGACACCUUCACUUGUUUGGACCAAUCACAGUUUUUCAUCUUGUUUGCUGAAGGCAGAGGUAUUCUCAUAAUCUGAAGAUCUUCUUUAAAGAAACCUGCAUAAAUCUCUCCUAUGGUACAAUAAGGAUGGAAGAAAUGGUAAUGGCUUUUAUUCCUCUUUGGAAGGAUUUUUAAUGACAUUUAACAUUAUGAAAAGGUACAAAAAUUUACUAAUAAUUAAUAGUAAUAAUAUUUUUAUAGUCAAACUUGAUAAUCAUUGUCUUACAAGUGAGAAACAUUUCAACAUUCUACUUUAGCAACAUUUUGACUUUAAGGAAAUACAUGAUUUUGUUGGAAGGUGUGAACUAUAGGUUUUUACUUUUUGACCACUGACACAGACAAAUGAUACAGCGAAGGUUAAUAACACUAUACUCUCAUCAUCUUAGAAAUAAAUUCAGGUAUGGCAGGUAUGCAUUGGAUUCUUUUCAGGAUUUUUAGUUUGUGUUUCAUGAGAAAAGCAAAAUUAAAUUUCUUGCAAUAAAAAUGUAAGAUAAAAGCAUAGAAAAAUGUUAUCUAUGGCAGUAUUUUCUCACCCUUCCAUCCUCACCUAAAGGCCCAUUAGCUUGUCUACAACCACAGAAAACAGAUCCGUGUCCAUAGAAACAAAGGACAUAAGACAGUUCUUUUAGUCACCAAGUAAAGCCAACUGUACCUCUGUCCUUCCCAUAUGAAUAAAUAAAUUAUUAAAUCUUUUCUCUGGGUUUCAGUCCCUGGCAAUGGAAAUUCUGAUUAGUAGAUUUCUAUGUAGGAAACCCUGCUGUGUGCUUGAAUAAAUAUGAAAUAUAGAGUCUGUCUUCUAGAUGUUACAUGUUAACUAGGGAGACUGUUUAUGUAAAGAUCAAUAGUGCUAUAGUGUAUAGUAAUACAGUCCAAGCUUAGGAUAUCCAGAAGGAAAAGGAAAAGCAGUGGUAAUGUGAAGGGAACUUCUAGGAAGCACAAAGCAACAUACAUUGCACAUUUUUGUCAAAGGUAUGAAAAAAUCCAGUAUAUUUGUAAGUUAGGGACUUACUGUAUAUAAGGUUCUUGUAUAAGAGAUUCAAAAGAUGAUGGUGUAGAUGAAAUAGAGAAAGUCUUGUACAGUCAGGACUCUCUAAGGAGAUUCAAUUUAUCUGGGAUGAGGGAGAAAUGUUAAGAUUGGGUAAAAAAAUACAAGUUGUGUUAUUCUGAAUGUCCAGACACUUGGGACCAGAGAUCCCUCUAAAGGAAUUCAAAGAUAUACUGAGGGAAAGGAAACCAAGUAACAAGGAGCAUGAAACUGAGAUCUCCAUUAAAAGAAUAGAUAAUGAAAAUGUGGUAUCUAAACAUAAUAGAAUAAUACUGUUUGGCUAUAAAGAAAUUUAAAUUAGAGAUAUUUGUAGGAACAUGGAUACACAUUGAAAAUAUAGUAUUAAAUGAAAUAAAUCAGAUAUACAUAUAAUCAUACAUACAUACAUACAUACAAGAUUAACCAUAUCACUUCAAUUAUUUCAGUAAUCCAAAGUACAAAUAAAGAGCAAAGUUAAAGAUUGAUAAAAGGAGUCAGUGAGAUAGAUAUUUUGCAAAUGGAAAUGGAAUCAGGAGAUGGUGGGGAGGCAAGGAAAAGAGAAAGAUACAUAAAAAGACUUAAGCAUCUUGUACACGUACCAGAUACUCACAGUGAAUGUAACCAUAGAUUGCAAACAUGAACUAAAAAACUACAAUGACAAUAACAAUUAAAAUGAUUAAAGGGAUCUAGAGAUGGGGAGAAAGUAAGUAGGUAAGGAGAAGAGGAAUAAAAACAAUCAAGAUGUGGGAAAUAUAUGUACUUCUUAACAUAAAUGUCAACAUAUUAUGCUGCAAACAUGUUAAAAAAAUAACAACAAAAAUGAAAAUCUCAAGACUUUUCUUUAGAAAAGAAGCUUCCAUAGAGUCUUGUAUCCUGUACAACCUUGAAGAUAUGGAGGUUUCACUUUAAUCACAAAAUAAGGAAAAAGGAGCCCUACUAUAGCUGAGGAACAGCCUGUGAUUUAUGAAGGCACUAGGAGAAUAUUGGCUCUUCUGAAAUGUACGUGAGUAGCCUUUUAAUGGUGGCCCCUUCAGAGGCAACAUUGUGCAAAGACAAAUUGCAGGUCAGAAAACAAUAUACCUUGAUUAGAAUAGGCUAAUGAGGACAGAGGGAAACUCAUGGAACUAGACUGGUGGAAUUCAGCACAAAGGGAAGUGACGCUUUGGUUAGCCCAGUUAUACAUAUUCUGUUCCUGGUUUACUCAAUUACAGAGUGAUCUUAAAUCAUUUCUUUCAAAUGGAAGAAUUUUAGACGUAUCAAAUGCAUAUUAAGUGAAAUAAUUUACUGUAAUAUUUAAAAAUAUUAAAUGAUAUGAAUAGUAUAUUCCCACUAUAAGCAUCUGCAUAAGUACUUUCUGUCAUGAUAGAAACACAGAUUUUAGAUGUGUAAAUUUAUUAAAGAAAACUGGGAGAUUUUAUAAAAAUAUUAUUAGUAGUUUUUCAUGAGUGGUGGGAUUAUAGGUUAUUACUAUUCUUCACAUUUUUCUGUUUCAGGUAAAUGUUUACUGUAAAUACACAUUGUGUUUAUAAUCAGAAACUAUGCUAUUUUAAAAAUCUGUAAAUAUAAUUAAUCUUUUGGUAAAUAUAACUCUAAUAACAGUUGAACACACUGUGUUCGUGAGUUUGCUUUCACUUAUAGUUACAUUUUCUUAUAAUUUUAAACUAGAAGUUCACUAGCAUGUCUCAGUAACAAUAUAUCAGAAAUGCCAGUAGAGUAUCCGGCACCAAGUAGGUUGUCAGUAAGUAUCAGUUGAAUUUGAAUUCAAAUAACUCUAUAUUUUUAGAUAUGACAAGUUAUUUUUUCUCAAUAUUUGGUUCAUAGCUUCAAAUUGCAUAAUAAAAGUGAUGCAUUUAAAAUACAUCCAAUCCAUUAAUCUCUUCUGUGUUCCUUCACACAGAAUCAUUGCUCCCAGUUCUCUCUCAGUAGUGACUGACAUCUGGAGCAGGCUUUAUCUAUCUUUCUGCAUUACUGGAGCUGCCAUUUCAAAUCUCAUCUAAAGCCAUAACAUUUUCUUCUACUUCUAUUAUUUCAGUCCAUAAUUGCAUUAUUUUACUCUGUCAAAUGUACUGGGAUACAGUUUUCUAUGAAAAUGGCUUGCCUACAAAUACGAGGCAGAAGAAUACUAUUUUGAAAUUAAUUUCCAAAAAAUGACUUUCCCCACAUUAUAAAUAUUUUUGUUUAUUAGUAUUCAGCAAUCCAGCUGUAUAAACCAAGACAAAAUAUUUUCAAAGAUGAACAGAAAAGGAUAAUGCUGAAGGAAAGAGAAGAAAAGACAUCCUUCUUAAUUCUAAAAUGUACUUAAAAUAGUAUUAUAUUGAUGCACCUAUGCUUCUAGCCACAUACAGACAAAAUUAGUCUGAUUCUUAAUACUGGUGUGAGAGUUCUUUUGAGAGAAAAGUAUGAAGAAUAAAAGCAUCUCCUAGUAAUCUUUCAAUUGUUAUUUCUAUCACAUUUUAUGAAUUUCUUCCAAGAUAAAGAAAUUCUAUUCAUAUCAUUAAACCAGUAAUGAAGAAACAAAAGGUGACCCAAAGGAGAGAAAAGCCAGAUAAGCAAAAGUAAGACAAAAAAUGUUCAGUUAGAUCUUGCACUAGCAAGAGCAUUAGCCACUUAUUUUCGAUGGAAACUCAAAGGCAGACAGAGAAGAGGGAAGUGUAAAAAUCAAAGAAACAAACAAACUUCAGGUUGCAUUGACUGGAAGUUGCGAGGAAUCUGGCACUGGGCUACCCAGACACAGGGUAUCUAUCCUCUGGGACAUUUUGGAGAGAGUAUUUCACUUUCUCUAGUUGGUUCUGAGUAAGAAGCACACUAACAACUUAGAGAAGCUCUCAGCCACUAAAUAAAUUCUGAAUCACCUAGUUCAAUCACUGCUGAUGUUGUUUGGAUCUCUCAGUGAUGGGACAGAGACUGUGGAUCAGCAGUUUAUUGUUCUAUACAGUAUGGCAGUGGUCCACUGGUAUAUUGGGGCUCUCAUUAAGAAAGAAUGUAAUUUAGAAGAAUAUCAACUUUUUGAAUAAAAUAUCAGAUAAAUCAUAAUGUUUAAAGAAGAUUUUCUAUAGAAAACAUAAGCACAUAGUUGAAGGAAAAUAAGAAAUAACAAAAUUAAAGGAUUUGGAUCAAGGGUAUAAAACAGUUUUUGAAGUAAAAGUAAUAGAAAUCUUAAAGAACUAUAAAUGAUGAAAUCAUUAGUAGAGGCAAAGGAAAGGAUUAUGUUAGAAUCGUGUCCUUCAAACUCCAAAAUAAAUAUGAAACCAGUGCUUAUGUACAAAGGCAGAUUCUGGUUGAGCAAAUUGUCAGUGAGUAAGUUCUGAUUGGGCAGAUUCUGAUCAGUGAAAGUCUAUGAGAAUGUGUAGGUCUAUUGAAUGUGCAGAUUUAUGAGAAGGUCUGGAGAUUACACAUCUCUUCUCAGACUCUUGAUGAUGCUAAUGUCCAUGAAACAAUUAAGCUUUGAUCUUUAAGAGACAAAUGAUAAGACAAGUAUUUCUUUUCACUGUAUAGUAACCAUAUAAAAAUUUUAUAAUACCAUUUUGAAUCCUGAAGCAAAAUUCAUUGAUAAAAUAAUCUGUAAAUACAUGCAGAAAAAUUAAAUGAAUCCAAUAGUGAGCUAAAAGUCAUUAUAAAAAGAAAAAAGAAAAGUUAUUUAUAAAAGUGUUAAUGUUGAUUUGCAAAUAUUAUGAUUUGACCAUCACAGGACACAUGCAAUGUUUUGGCACCGGUCCCUUAACUCAGUGUAUAUAGCAGUUACAAACAUAAACAAAAUAAGAAUGCUGCUUUGAAAACUGGGGUGUUGCUAUUAUUGAUAGAUUUUUGUGAAAUGUAAAAGAAUUUGAAAAUAAUCUCAAUGAAAUUAUCAUCUUUACCCAGUUUUCACAGUUUAUAUAUGUAAAAUAUAUAUGUUCAGUGUUUUUUAAAUGAUGUUAUAUUUUAUUUGUGCUUUUGUGCAAACCAGAAUAUGGAUCAAUGCUCAAAAACUUCUUAACAUUUAUGCCCACACUUGAACAUUUUAUAUUUUAUGCAAUCCAGCAGAAAAUACUUCAUUAUCUACAUUGCAGACAUGGCAAUGUCUAUGGUCCUAGCCAAAUAACAUCUACUCUCAAACACAGGACUAUGUGCAGAUAGAGUAUUUAGUUAGUUUUAAGUAUUGUUUUUUAUUACAAUCAAUGUCCAAUUAAAAUUCCAGGCAUGUUGACUGGGAGGAAAAAUUGCUGUGUUUCAAUGACAGGAACUGCUAAAUUUCCUCCAUAAAACAGUACCUAUUCACAGUUCCAUAAUCAAAUAAUUGAGGUGUAGAAGACAGCCAAUGUUUUAAGCAUGCUCUCCAAAAAGACCAUGAAUUGUUGGGAGAGAAGAGAUGAGAGGAGUUUAUUGGGAGAAUUUGCUUACUCAACUGUGGAGGAUGAAAAGUCCCACCGUGAGCUAUGUGGAAGCCAGAGAACCAGGGCAAAGGGAGGCUGACUCAGCUUUCCUGUGAAGGCCUGGGACUCAGGGAAGCUGAAGGUGUAAUUCUUAGACUAAGACCUGGAAGAAAUAUGAACAUUUCUGGUUUAUGACCUAAAUCCAAAGAUCAGACGAAACUUAAUUCUGACACCUCAGAGUAAGAGAAGCGUGGUGUCUGGACAAUAGGAAAUAGUAAAAAGUUGACUUUUCUCUACUUUUUUGUUCUGUCUAAGCCUUCUUUUGACUGGAUGGUGCCUUCCACUUAGUCCACUGAAUAACGUAUCAGACUCCUCCAGAAACACUGUCACAGACAUGUCUGAGGCAGACUAAUCAUUCUAACCAAAAGGAAAACCACCUAGGGUUCCUUUCAACAGAAGAGGGAUGGACUCAGUGUCUAUGGGACUUUGAGAAUAAAGUGUUUACCAGCUGAGUGUUUUUGAUCCAUCAUGAAUCAUCAUGUUUCCACAUGGUUCCUUCCUUAGGAGUCUGUGAGUGGAGACUAGUGAUAGAUGUCUAAUGGAAUAGUCAUAUCUAGAAAAAAGUGUGAUUUAAAUUGUUCACAUGCAUCUCUGUGAGUAUGAAUAAGAAAGACAGUAUAACAUGAACAUCAAAUACAUUUUAAAUUUGCCCACGUGCUUUUAAAAAAUUUGCCCAUGAUUUAAAUGAAAACAGUGAAGCUUUGAAAAACCACUCACAAAUUUAAAUUUCCAGGUUUUACCAUUUUUGUAGAAUUGUGUAAGUUUGAACAAAUCCCAUUUUAAAGCAAUCAACAGCAUUAACCUCACUUAUAUGCUGAUGACGUCAUUUCAAAACAUAUAUUAAAGUAAAAGUAAAACUAAAAAUGUACAAGAAAUGUACAGUUAUCCAAUGAUGUCUAAAGUAUUAACACACAAUAGUGACUUAACUAGUCUAUUUAAAGUAUUUUUUUCUCAAAUGUUAUGCAAAUUUUUACGGUUUAGUUACUCUGAAUAUAAAUCUAUUAUAUAAGAUUGUCAAUUUAAUUUCUUUAAGGCUGGCAUAAGUUUUGUGGAAAUUUUAGUAUUUUUAAUUUACAAAAUAUUGGAGAUAUAAUUGUCUUAAUCUAAAUGUGUCUUGCCAAAUUUAGGUAUUAGGGAAGUGUUAUCAAAAGAUAAAAGAAAAGAAAAGAAAAGAAGUUGUAUAACUAGAACUGUUUCUCCUUCAUCUAAUUAUACCCCAUGUUAUCAUGGUUAUUGGAGCCUAAUAAAUUUUCAUUAGAUACAUGUAAUAAAUGUUUAGGUUCAUACUCUCUUUUAAUGAAUUUCUGUUCAAAAGGAAAUUCAAUGCAUGUUUUAUUAUAUACAUUUCAUUGAAUGUGUAACUCUACAAUUUAAUACUACAUAUAGAUUUUUUAAUUCAUAAAAUAAUUGGCUUGCAUACAAAAAUAAGCAACAACAUGGAAAACCUUGAAUUCAAUCUAGAAAUUAUGUAAGCUGGAGAUCAAUCGAUUGAAAAUUUAAACAAAUGUACAAAAACUUAUAAACACACAAUCAAGGAAUAAAAAUUUAAUAAAAGAAAUUUUAGAAAAGAAGAUCCACAAAAUUUAGAAAAUGUAAGAUAUAUCAUGUACAGGUACAAAUUUCCAAUGAUGAAUGUGAGCAUAAUGUAUAUCUAAAAUGUACCAAUAAAGUUAAUUAAAAAAAUUCAAGAGCAUGGAAAGAAAACUACUGGUAACUAAUAAAUGACAAAGGAGAAAGAAAGAGAAAAACAGAAAGCAGAAGAGGAGAAUAGUGCAAAGGAAGAGGAAAGAAACAAAAUAUCUGUGUAGGACAACUGUAGAAAUAUGACAGAGAUAUCCUUCCCAAAGGUUAGGGAUUGAUGACCUUUCAUUCUUUCUUCCUUCUAGGAGUUGAAUUAAAUGGACGACAAACUGUCCCACUUGAACUAUAUUCUACACUUGUUUUUCUGUAUUUCCCACCCUAUUUGCUGGCCAGACUCGAGAGUCUAUGUUUUUAUCUUGGCAUUUUUUCUCAUGCAUUGAUCUUUUUCAUGAACUCUAUCAAAUCCUUGUUUAUCUACUUAAUUUUAAGUUCUAAAUUUCACUAAUUAUACUUUUUAUUAUAUAGUUUCAAAUCAAAUCUCUUUAAUUUAUUAAUUCCAAUGCUUUGAUGACUUUUUUCAUCUUGCUACAUAUUAUAUUCAGUUUAUUAAAUAUAAUUCUUAUAGGUGCCCUAUAAGAGGUUGUGGUUUUUCUUUUCUUUUCUUCUUUCCUUCUUUCUUUCUUUCUUUCUUUUGGAGCUGGAUACAAAGUACAACCUUGUUUUAUAAAGUCCUGUGUUUUGUUUGAUCUACAAAUCUCUUAUUUCAAUUGAUUUUGGCAUCAGGAUGUAUGUCCUUCCCUUUUUUCCAUACCUAUGUUUUUAGUUGAUUUUCUCUGAGUAGCUUCAAUGUGGCUCCUCCUUUAUUCAGUCAUGUUGCCUGAACCAGAACUUCCAAUGAUACAAACAGCCCACUCUGCCACGUAUUAAAAGUACAGCUUCAAGUAUGGUAAACAACUGCUUUACCACUGAGUUAUAUUUCUACAUGUAAAUCCAUUCCAGAUAAUUUAAAUACGUAAGUUAGUUCUAAUUUAAUGUUAUUAUCUUUUUAUAAAAUCUUAAUUAAGAUUUUAUUGGCUAUCUUAUAGAAUGUGAGACAUUUUAAGUGAAAAUACUUCAGGAUAGAUUUGGGUAUUAGGCAGCUAUAGUAGGAACCACACUUUUCAGUCCUAUGGAGUUGUUCCACAGUGGUGUACAAACUCCAUAUGUCUAUUUACUUUGAUUUUCAUUCACUCUCAUGUAGGAGCUCUUUUAAUAGUAGCCAAAAAUUGGGGGGUAAUUUUCAGGGUCAAGUUGCUUCAGACUGGUUUAUAUACAUAUGUAAAUCAUAUCUAAAUCAAUUUCUUAAUUUAACUCAAUUCUUCAACAUUGUGGAAUAAGUAACAGUCUUUCUCUAAUGUUUAGCCCGUUUUCAGCCUGGCUCUUCAGGCUCUCCUCCUACACAAUUUAAGAAUCUGAAAUAUUUCAAGAAUGCCAAAACUGUGUUAAGAUCAAUUUUUUGGAUCUCUCUGUCCUCUCCGUACUGUUGGGCUAUUCUUAUGUUACAUGAACUCUAGGGAUUUCCAUUACAGUUUGUGGUCUCCGAAACCUGUGCUGUGAUACCUUGGCAAUCAAGUUCUGCUUCCUCAGAUUUUCUCCUAAUAAAAACUAUCAGAAAAUGCCUUGAUAAAAAAGGUAUGCAGAACCCUGGACUUGCCUUGGAAACUUACCUCCUAUUGAGACCUUGAUUCUUCUUAUAUGCCUUUCAUCACAUUUUUGUUACUUCAUAUAUUUUUAUCUAGCUUUACUUGUGAUUAUUGAAGAAGAUGAAUAUGCGUCAAGUCCUCCAUCACAACCAGGAUUAUAGUAGAUGAAGUCUUUUCUGACUGAUUUUAGUAAGAGCAAUUAUUAGAAAAUACUCAUCCUUCAAUUUCAUUUUGAAGAAAUUUAAGCAGAAGUACAAGACCAAAUAGUAGAAAGUGAAUAUAUACUUUUGGAUAUAAUUAACAUCUAUAUGUAAACAAAUCUCAACAUUUGAAGCUUCUAAACUUCUAGAAUUAAUGUAAUUGAAGGCAAACAGGCAGCCCUGUUUAUUUCAUUCCCAACAAAAUUUAUAAGCAUCAGUGAGUUGACAGACUGUCAGUUAAAUUUCCAUCAACCUGAACAACUCCAGAUGUGUAUCAGAGAAUGCAAGUUAUGAAAAGCUAGCAAGACCAUAUCCAGUAAGUUUUCUAUAACUUCUGCCUGGUUUUGAUGUUCCAUAAAUACUAAAUGCCUAUCAAUCAAAAAGCUCCCUUGUAAUGACUUAUUACAAUAAAGGAAGCCACAUAUGCAUACAAGAGAGGAGCUGCAGUUUUAACUUUCAUUCAAUGUCAAUUUAAUUUGAGUAUCAUUCCAACACCUAGUUUAUGAGUUACACAAAUUACAGCAGUGGUGUUUUUGCGAGGGUAAUGGUAAUGAUGUGUCAUUAAUUCCUCAGAGCAUAUCAUAUUUUCUGCACUCAUGAUAUAGAAGAGGCCACAUUGAAUUCAUCUUUUUCACACUACUGAAAAUAGGCUAUCUCCAAUAAGCUGCUAUAAUAGGGGAAUGACACAGAGUAAAACUGUAAGCAUGCUGUCAUAAUGAAUAUAUGUAUUUUUUAUCAUCUAUAGCAUCACAAUUAUGCACACAUAGAUAGUAAAUUAAUGAAAUGCUCUUCCGUAUAUAUUUGGUAUUGAAGCAGGAGAAACAACAAAGAACAUUGGCUAAUGCAGUUUUCCCAGUGUAUUAGAAUAUCUCUAUAUAAUUUGGUAAGAAAGACAAAGUGUUCAUUUAUCACUUAGGUUUUCAAUCCCACAAUGUCACCUAUUAGUCUCAGGGUAAAUGCAUACUAAUAAUAAGAUUCCUUCUGGUUUCUCUACUCAGUCUCCUAUGAAUUGUAUUCCUGGCCUCUAGAAGCUGUGUUUCUUUUGUUUGAUUAUUCUUCUGGCACUGGUUGGAUCCCACUUACAUAUGCAAUUUAACAUGAUGGCAAAAAUAUACUUAAAUAAAUGUUUUAUGCAAUCAAUAUUUUCACCUUUUUAAUUGUCACUUAAUUAUAUAAUUUAUAUAUGUUAAAGUAUUUAAUUGUUGUUACAGUCCUUAAAUAUUUGGCUUAGAUUGCAAUUAUAAAGUAGUUCUUGUGUGAAAAUUUAGUAAAACAAUUUUCUACCUUUCUGAUUUUAUUACCUCUCCACAGUAUUAUUAUCAACAGCAAUUCAAUGAUAAAAUUCCUAGAUGCAAAACUAUAAAUUUCUUAACUUCAGAAAAUCUUUUAUUAGAAAAUUAUCUCCUCAUUCUACCUAAACUAAAAUUAUGACAAUAUUGAUAUAAAAAAUCACAUCAUAUUAAUAAUGUAAAUGAUCCAAAAAUAAUUUAACCUUCCUUGUUCAUGAAUAUUUACAUCUUCUGGCUUCAUUUGUCAAAACUGAAAACGUCUCAAAAAUCUCUUUUCUUUUCUUGUCUUUUUUUUCUUUUGGUGUUGGAUGAUUUCAUCAAUUCCUGACUACAUAUUGAAUAAAAUAAUUUUAUAUCACCCAAUGUAAUUACAGUAUUUUCACACAGAUUCAAUUUCUGUUAUCUGGAAAAGUAUUUUAGAAUUUAACCUUCCAUCAAAGUUGAAGUGGAAAUUAAAAAUUUUAACAAAUUUGGGAAGUAGAUUUAAGAAAGACCUGUGAGUGUACUUAUUUGCAUUUGAAUUCAAUUGAAAUCCAAUAGAGCAGAAGCCAACAAAGUUUUGAAGAUAGUUGCUUUGUCAAAAUAACCACAAACACUCCCAGAACAAAAUAAAUUGUGGCCCUAUUGAGACUUGAGGUAUCCCUUUGUUCUCCAGGUGACAAGUGUCAGUAAAUGGAAGAGCUGUUUAACAACUUUCAAGGGUAUAUUCUGUGCUUCAAUUUAGACAGAAAGGAUAAAAAGAAUCUGCCCUAAUGUCAUGUGCACAUUUAAGGAGAAAAACUGAGUGGGAUUCUCACUUAGGAAGUUUAAGGUCUAACUCAGGAAUAUUUUCCAAAUUCUGAUUAAGGACCCUGGCUAGACUUGUGUGGGGAAAUUCAGAAUUCCUCUGUAUCACCAUCUACUCCAUGGCAGCAAAUAUUCUGUCCACAUUCAAAUAGUACAUGUUGGCCUGAAGCUGCUUCCAUCAUUGUAGAGUUCAUUUAGUUUUGUGAAAAAUAUCUUCCUGAUUUAUAGAUCUCUAUACAAAGACAGCCACAACUUCACAUGAAAAACAACAAAUACACAAAGUUUCUGGAAUUUGAGGUUGGAAUACAGCAUCUGAAUGAAAAUUUUGUGCUGUUACCUAGAGAAGAGUGAAUGUACAUGCUUAUAGUAAGGCCACAAAUAUGUGGAACCUGUGGCUACUAUUACCAUGGUCCUCCUAAUAUUGCUGGUUCUCCUUCUAGGAACCUAAUAUGAUUUUUUCACUGCUCCACACCAUUGAAGGCCCAUAGAAUAUGAGUAGAACUGACAUUUGUCAGAUCCAGGUGGAAAUUUAAGAACUAGUGGACAAGCUAUCAGUGUCUCUCUCUCUCCCUCGCUGGGGUCUUACAAUAGGCAUCAGUUCAUUUCCUUCCAGUGUCUACUCUGUUAACAUGAGUUGCGGAGUGAGGGUACACAAAGUACAGUCCCAGUGGACUUGUGGGUAGAGAUGAAGAAAUCAUUUGCUUUUAAGAUAGCAAGAUCUCUGUAAUUUUUUUUUUUAAAUCAACACCUAACUUAGUUUAUCUCAUAGAUACAAACACCUAGUGUAAAUUACUCACUUAAGCCCAGGAGGGGAAAAGUAUUCAUUUAAACCCAGUUCUAUAUUUCAUGUUAACUAAUCUAAGCAUUGUCUUAAGGUAUAUUCAGAAUAUGCAUCUUUAAUCGUUGCGUGUAGAACACAUUGUGAAUUUCUGGUCCAUGUUCUAUUAUAGUCAAUGCUAAGAAAAUAUAGUCAUAGUGAAAGGAAGAUUUCUUAUAAAAGGAAGCAAAGUGUAGAUUCUACUGAAAAAAGCAUUCCAGUUCCCCUGUUUGUCAUUAGAACUUUAUAAAAAUGUUGAAGUAAUGCAUUUUGCAUAUUUUUCCCUCCACGAUAAUGUGAUUUUAGACACAGAAAAUACCUAGGUAGGUGCAUUUUGCAUUUAAGAAUAUUUCCCAGUGAGAAGCAAUCAGCAAGACAAUUGUUAUCUUGUUGCAAAAAAUGCCUACCAAGAGAGUACAGAACAAAAAAUAUAGCUUGCUUUGCAUCUAUCAAUUUUAUUGGUGAAGAAACAACUACUAUUCGUUGGUUUAGUUUAGAAAUAGUUUUGUUACAGAUUUCCUUAACAUGAAAAUGUGCUUCUUGGGAUUUUCUCAAACAUGUACUAAAAUAGAAAAAAAAAGUAAAUGCUUGAACAUAAAUGGAUCUCUAAAAGAAAGUUGCUUCCUAAAAUCCUAUUUAUUAUGUAAUAUGUAGUGAAAGUAAAAUUUGCUAAGAUUAGUUUUGAGAUGUGAAGUUUAUCAAGACUCCAACUUUUUAAUUAAAGCAAUGUAUAGGGGCUGGGGAUUUAGCUCAGUGGUCCCGCCACCUGCCUCACAAGUGCAAGGUUCCGAGUUCGAUCCUUGGUACAAAAACAAAACAAAACAAAACAAAACAACCAAUGUGUGUUUCACAACCAAAUCAUAUGCCAAAUAAUAUUUGAAUUGACAGACUAUAUAUGUUCUUCAAAUGCUGUUUUAUUUAGUAUUUAUAAUGUUUACAUGUGAAUGAAGUUAAGAUUCAGUAGCAAAUAUGAAUGUAUAUUCAUAGCAAUAUAAUUACACCUCAAAUUCAGUUUUUGGAUGAACUAAACAUCAGUUUUAUUUUGAAAAUAUGGUACAACUUUUACAUAUUUGAAAUAAUUUUCUGAAGGGUAAUUUUGUUUCAAAUCUUGAAUAUUCACAUUAGAUGUUACAUUAACUUGGGGCUCUUUGAAAACAAGCCUCAGUAUUCAUUAUAUUGGAUUACCUCAUAAUAUUUCCCAGUGGGAAUGCUAAAGUGGCUCACAGCCAACCUUACAAUACUACUGUCACAGCCUGUUAUACAGAAUUGCCUUGUCACAUAUUAUAAAUGUCUUUAUUUUUAAUAUUUUAUUGAAUAUCCAUGAUAAAAUUAAAACAAUUUCAUUACUUAUGUCAUGAAGCUAAAGUCAAGUGCCUCUUGUUUAGUUACAAAGUUCAAUUGCAAAUGUCCCAACUAAUAAAUUAAGACAUCCAUUCUCAUAUGCAGAAGUGCUGGUUGUGUGUACUUCUGUGAAGUGCACUUUAGUCAUUUUAAUGUGAAUUGCAGAUUAAGUUGAUAAAGUACCAUUGACUGUAAAGAAAGUGCUUGUGACAAUACUCACUAUCAAACAAAAUUAUAAUAAAUAUACAGUUGCAAAAUAAGCAAAAGCUUGGAAAUAAAAGAGUUAGAUCAGAAAUGGAAGACACCCAAGAUGUUCUAUUGAGGAACAGCUAAAUGGUUAACUUCACAGUAUUCAAGGAAAAUUUCAAUUUUUUAAGGUCCUUAAUAUUCAUCAUUCCUAACUUUUAAUGCCAAAAUUCACUCUUUAAGUAAAGAUGUAUUUGUAUCCACAUAUUUUAUUUUAGGUUUAUGCGGUCUUUAGAGGAAACAGCUUUUACUGCAUCAUACAGUGGAAAGGAAGAGUUAAGGCAGUCGAUACACUAGAAUUCAGGAUGCAAGUGCUGAUAGGGAGUAGCAAAGAGCAAAGGAAGUUCAGGACCUCUUAUUCUUUUGUCUGAACUUUAAAGAGAUAUUAUGUGCAAGAUGAACAAUAAUAAAAGCAUAUUCUUAUUUCCCUUUGCUUAGUUCCUGAUACAGCACUCAUGUAAUUAAUAGAGUAGUCGUCAAGAAAAUGACUUGAGUGCACAAAGCCCUGCCAAAAUUAAUACCUGACUUUUAAUAUUAAUUUGAUUUUCUAAACAUUUUUAGGAAUAAAACAAUUUAAUUCUUUUUGCUAUUUGAGGUAUGAUCUUCGUGGUGGCCAUGAGAACCUCCACUAUGACCUACUACCAAAGAGAGUAUAGUUUAUGGACAGACUCGGUUAAUAUUGCUCUGAUCUCAACCCCAACUUGGUCAGGUUGCUACCAGCUAGAGACUGAUCAUGGCAAAGAUAUCAUUGCAUUGUGAUUUGUCCUUGCUGCUUCCAAUUUCUCACAUUUAUUCUUUCAGACACUUCCUCCAAUGAACUGCUUGUACCGUUGAUCCCAUUGUGAUACCUGCUUAGAACAAGCAACCACCACAAUUGUGUAUAUCUUCAACAAAAUGCUGAAAAGAAACACUUUCUUGUCUUUCAAUUGAAUAUUUUUAUUUCAUAUAAUGCUAGUAGAGAACAAAUAAACCUAUACUAUUGAUUUAUUUAUCAUGAAAUAUUUCAUUAUAUACAUUGUGAUGUGUUAUGUGUUUUUUUCUUUAAUUAGAAAACUAAUAUUAUUACUUCUUAAGUUUAGAAAUACUACCUUAGAAAUUUAUGCUUCAAGAUUCUGGAUUUAUGUACAAAAUACCCUAAAAAGGAACUAUAUUCCUGAGAUGUUCACAAACAAUGCAUUAAAUAAAUCAGAAUGAAUAUUUGAGUUUAUUCUUCGAGGGGGCAAAAUAAAAUAAAUAUUUCAAUCUUACAUGACUUGGAAAUAAAUGACUAAAGAAGUGUGGCUUUCUGGGAGGAGUGUAUAGGUACAUUUACCCUUCCAUUCAUCAGAUAUGAUUUCUUUUUUUUUAAAUUAGUUUUAUUGGUACAUUUUAGGUAUAUAAUAUAAUGACAUUCAUCAUUGGAAAUUUGCACCUCUACAUAAUCUCUUGAUUCUUACUUUUUCCCCAUUCCCCUGCCCUUCUUUCAACCCCUCCACCCCUCCCUAUUUACAAAGACUUUCCAUUUUUUCAUUUUCUCAUAUUAAUUUCAUUCCCUUCUUUCCUUUUCCCUGCCCCUCCCACUUCCCAUUCCCCUUUGCACCUUUUCUUCCUAUUUCACAUUAUCUAUUAUACCUUUUAGUCUUUAUUUAUGCCUUCAGUUUCUCACACUAGAAAAACUAUUCAGUAUUUACACGUGUGUGUCCUAUUCAUUUCACUUAGGACUACCACCUCAAUGUGCAUCCAUUUAGCAAUAAAUGUCUCUAAUUUCCAUUUUUUAUGGCUGAGUAGUACUCCAUUUAUAAAAAACCCCACAUUUUUUAUGUGCAUCCAUCUUCAUAGCAGCACAAUUUGUAAUAGCUAAAACUUGGAAGCAGCCCAAUUACCAAUCAACUGGAGACUGGAUAAAGAAGAUCAGAUAUGAUUUCUGUUAGCUCACUCAAUGCAUCCUAGACACUACACCCUAGACUUAAUGGAUGAGUCUCUCUUUACUUUACUACCAAUUCCUAAUUUUUCAUUGAAUUAUUAAUGGGUCUAGUGGUUGUGAACCUUUUUUAUUGGUUUUGUUUGUCUUUGGUUUACGAGGUUGGAGUGGAGCAGGAGGAGCAAUGAAUAGUAGAAUAUAUAAGGGCAAUAUUGUGUUGAAGUGAUUCAUAAGCCCUCUUUCAUCAAAUGCUAUUGGAAUUGAAUAAUGAAGGCUUGUGAGCUAGAAAAAUGUAAAAUGAAAAUUUUAUUUUCAUAGUGUAUGAAAACAAGGUUGUACAAAAUAUUCUUAUAAUGAAAAAUUUAAGGAUGUGAUAAAUGCCCGACAUAAAGUGGAAAAGACUAUUAUAAUUUCAAAGUACUCUGAUCAUCUAUGUUAAAGAAGCUUUCUUGGAAAGACAUGAGCAUCUUGUUGGAGUAGUAUCAUAACAAGGUAAUACCCUCAGUACAUGAGGUAAAAGGACCCAAGUUACCCAAGUUAUUUAGAUGAAUGCAUCAAGAGUUAUCAUGGUUGGAGUGUCUCUGAGGAGUAAGGAAGAACAAUUGUCUACUCUGAUGUUUUCUUUUUCUCAUUGUGUAAGAAUAAAGAAGAAGCUGGAAAGAUUGCUGGUGAAUCAAUAUAUUCGUGGAGAAAUGAGUCUAGUUAAAACAAGAAACUUAAGAAAAUGUUCACAAAUGACGCCUUGGAGAACUUUGCUCAUAAAUGACUGUGAGUCCAGGGAGGAUACUGGAAGGCAGACUACUGUGACAAAGUAUGUUAGGCAAUAAGGGUGACCUGAAAAUCUUACAGUUAUGAUUUGACAAACAGAAUUAAAUAGCAGAGCUGAGAUGAGGCCCACUAAUCUCUAGGUAGAUAGUGAAGCUGAGACUACACUUAGUGUUGUUGGAAGAACGUUGAAAUGGUGAGAUCUCUCCAGACAGUAUGAUUCUCAGACUUUCUUAUGUCCUACUCAUGACACUGUGGAAGUUGCAGAGAGGAACUUCAUCCAGAGAGCAUAAGGACUUCCGUGACUGCCUCUUCAAUUCUGCUAUCGGAGGCAGUCUAGGGGAGGUGUGGUCUUAUCCACGUAUCUGUUCCUCCUUCACUCACUGAAACACAUUUAUAAAACUGGGCCUGGGAUUUAGCUCAGUGGUUCUGCUGCCUGCCUCGCAAGGACAAGGUCCCAAGCUCGAUCCCUGGUACCAAAAACAAAACAAAACAAAACAAAAAAACUACCCUAACAAUUUCAAGAAAACAACCUUAUGUUAAUUUUCAACACAGUCCAAUCUUUCAUGGUACUGGCAGCAAAAUAUUUGUUUUAGCUAAGGAAAAAUUAAUAAGUCUUUCUGGCAGCAGGAGUAUAUUAUUUAGGGUACUCUAGGGAAACAGAGUCAAUUGAAUAUAUAUGUGUGAUUAUGCACUGGAAUUCAUUAACUAGGCUUACAGGAUCAGAAAUGAGAGAGCCCACAAUGGCAUUUGUGGGACCAGACGCAAGAGAGUCCGCAAUAGUCACUUGAACAUUACAGACCCAGAAGAUACAGGAGAUGCUUGGCCAAGAAGGUGGAGGCCACAGGACAGGAGGAUGCAAGGAUACAGCACUUGUCCAAGUUUGAAGGCCUAGAAGCUCCCUGGAUAGUUACCAAUAUGAGUCUGUGUUAGAAAGCUAAAGAAACUGCAGAUCUGGAUACUGAUGUCCAGUGGCAACAGCAGCAGAGUAUACACACAAUUAGGAAGACGGAAGUUCUUCAAACUGUGGACAGUUCCUUGUUUUCUCCUCUUUUUAUUCCAUCCUGGCUACAACCCCAUUUGUUAGUGCCACCUACAUCAGGAAUGAGUCUUCCUCCCUGGGUUGACUGGUUUAUAUAUCAGUCACCCAUUCACAGUUCUGUUAGAUAAUGUGUAGGAUUUCUGACCCCAGAGAAUGCAAGAUGUACUUAGGUAUAAUAAAAUGGAGCAGUUGACCGUUCCAAGGAAUAAUACGUGUAAUUCUAUUGUUUCAAAAACACAUCAUCUAUUGAAGAAUGAGUGAGAGAAGCUCACUACGAUGAUUAUAAUAAAAAUAUAAUGGUACUUCUUUUUAAAAGGACAGUAUAAGGUAAUUUACCAUGUAUACAUCACCUGUGACCCCAACGUUUUAAAUUUUAUGCUCUGUUCAAUGGCAGUAGCAGGGAGUCUGGAGGGAGAAUUCUCUCACAGAUUUACAAACUACCAAAAUGUUUAAACUUAACUAAAUAAAAGACUAUUUGCUAGCCUAGAGUUGUUUUAAGACAAAUUCUUUAGUACCACCUCAACUCUUCAGCAGAGUGUAAUAUUUAAAUGUAAUUUUAUGAGGUCUGGUGUGCCCACAAUAUGUGAAAACAAUGAUUAGUUUUUAUAGAGUUCCUGCAACAUUGCAUUUAAUGAAAGCAAUGAUGGUGAGCUCCUAUUUACCUUUGUACAAGGUUUCUUAAUUUAGCACUGUACCUGAAUAUGUGUGGUAGAGUGCAAGUUUUGCUUCUAUAGUGUCUUAAAAUAUAUUUUAAAUAUGGCCCACCUAAAUGGGCCAUUUUAAAUAUGGGCCAUUUUAAAUAUGGCCCAAGUAAAUGAAAAUAGAAAAAACAAGUGAUCACCUUCAGUACCAUCAGAAAAAAAGUCAAAUGUUACUUAAACAAACAGUGAGAAAUGUGAAAUAGAUAAAUUCUGCUGUAAUACACAGUUUCUUAUGAUGGCUUUUUAGAUCCAAUAUCUCUUGGAGAUCUAAAGUCAGUUUUCAGUUGCAGUUUAAAAGACUGUAAAAAUAGAGGAUUUAUGAUUAUAUCAUAAAGGAUAUCCUAGAGUAUUUAAUAUGAAAUAUUUAAUAUGAAAAUUCUCCAGCUCUCAGGAGCAGCAAUUUUCAGCUCUAUGUUCCAAGUGGAACAUGUUGUCAUCUCCUGAAGCAUUGUUUAUUAUGGUGCUGAGUGUUGGUGUCCUUGGAAUCAGUGUGGAAGUGUGAAAAGAAGUAAAUCUGUUAUCAAGGACAGCUGGAUUUCUUGGGUCAAGGUUUAAAGAUCAGAGCUUUCUACUCUUUUUAAAUAUUUCAUGACUGAUUUCUAGUUUUAGGCAUUCAAAAUAACUCCAAAUGAUGUCAUCAUUUUCUCAGUAGAUUGAGGCUAUCACUAGAAGUUACUGCAACAGAAACAGUCCCUCAUGAUUGGCAAGUUGGUAAGAAUUAGAGGAGACUAUUCAUGCCAGCAAACACAGGACAAUCAUAAGUUUUUGAAAUUAGACAGAUGAAGUUUGUAAUCUGUUGUUGCAAUAUACCACUUGUGUAAGUGAAUUUUAACCCUACCUAUGACAAUUGGGAGAUGAUACCUGUGAAAUAAGUGGCAUGAAUUUUGUAAUGAAAUAAUUUGUUGAUUGUGCAAUUGUGUGAUACGGUUUACAUGUAGAUGGCCCCCUAAAGUCUCACGAGAUCAUAGGUGGGACCUUUGUUUUCCAGGGUUUUUUUUUGUUUUUUCUUGGUUGGGGGUACUGGGGAUCGAACUCAGGUCCUUGUGCUUGCACAGCAGUUGGAGAAACCACUGAGCUAAAUCCCCGGCCCCAUAGGCGGGACAUUUGGAAAGUGAUUGAAUUACAGUUGAGUUGCUGCUUGUAGGUAGAACCUGGUUGGGAGAGGUGGGUCACCAUAAGCAUGACAAAGAAUGUUAUAUCUCCCUUCCAAGCUCUUCAUUUUGUUUUCUGCUUCAUGUCUGCCAUGAGGUAAGUAGCUCUCCUCUGCCAUGUGCCUGUGUCAUGUCAUUCUGUCUUGGAACCAGCCACUAUGAACUGAAGCACAAGCCAAAAUAAACCUUUGCUCCUAUAAGUUUUGGGUAUUAAGUAUUGUAUCUCAGCCAUAAAGAGGGAAGUAACUAAGAUUUUGAUACCAAAGAAGUAGGAUCAUUGCUGUGACACUACUUGUCCUGUGGUUCAGAAACAUUUGGAGGUUGUUUGAGGGAGGAGUUUGGAAAUAUUUGAAGAUACCAUCUGGAGAACCAGACUGAAAAUGCUGCAAACUGAUCAUGAUAGGAGAUUCUGGUCAGAUUUCAGAAGAUCAUAAUGCUGAUAGAAGUCGGUAUAGUAAAGAUGAGGUUCAGGAGGUUUCAGUUGGGAACAAGGACUAUAUUGGCAGUAGUACUCCAGACCAUGUGUGUUACACUUUGGCAGAAAAUUUGUCUACAUUUUACUCAGAGUAAGGGCAGUAGAGUAAUCUGGUGGAGAAAAUUUCAAAGCAGCCUAAUAUUAGGGCUGUGAUAUGUAUACUAUUAGGUGACUUUAGCCAGUCCUAGUUGGAAAACCAGGAGCAAAAAGCCCACUUUUAAAGUUUUCAGUUUUUCCAGAAAAAAAACACCUACAAAGUUGUAGCAGAGGAAAGCAUUGUUGCUGAAAUAAUUAGCAGUGAAUAGAAGCCAAGUAUUUUGAAUCAUGAUAGGAAAAAUACUUUGAGGGCACGUGAAGAAUCAGCAAGGGCCCAACCUUCCCAAUUACAAAAUUGCAAAAGUUAAAAACUUUGCUUUAAAAAGGGGGUCCAAGGUUGCAUGCUUCAGAAGGGCAGCUGGGUAGGGAAUUUGUUCCUCAGGAUUUGACUCAUAGUGUUCAGCCAUCCAGGUAUUCACAGGUCCCUGCUACCAUGAUAUAAGGGAUCCUGGCUACUGCUCAAGCUGAUGCAGACCUUGGCAUAAUCCACACGAUUCUGGUUAUACAGGAAUGCAGAGUGCAAAUCUUCUGCGUUUGAGGAGGCAUUGAGCCAGAUUUCAGAAGGCCUAGAAGGCCAGGCAGUGUGCCCCUGAGAAGGCAGUGCUUGAAGCUGGUGAGAGUGAAACUGAGUGUGCAAUAAAGACCCCAGAGAGUUGGAGGAACCAGAAACAUGGAACAUCUGAGGAAAGCCACUGCAUGAAGCAAAGACACCCCAAGAGAAAAGCUAUUAGAGCUUUAACCACCAAGGAUACUGCAGGGGUAGGGCCGUCCAAGCUAUUUGAAGUUCACAUCUCAGCAUAGUUUUCUCUGGGUUCUAGAUAUGGAGCUACAGGAUUUAAUGUUCUCCCUGUUGAUUUUCAGUCUUGCUUUGGUUCCGUUGAUUUCUAUUCCCACAUUUCUCCUUUUUGGAAUGAGAAUGUGUACCUUAUGCAUUGUAUGCCAGCAGUGUUUAACUUCUUUUGGGUAUUUACUGUGGCUUACAGCUAAGAGUUUCCCUUCAGUCUCAGAGGAUACCUUGGACUUGGCCUUUUCAGCAAUGCUGGGAUGGUUAGGAAUUUGGCAACUGUUAGAAACAGACUAAAGGAAAUUUGCAUAAAUAUAUAUGCAUGAAUCUUUGGGGAUUAGGGAUGGAAUUUUAUGAUUUAUGUCUAGAAGUCCCAUAAUAUUGUAGGUGGACUUUAAGGAAGGUGAUUAGACUAUAGGGGUAUUAUAGGUGAAGUGUAUUAGGAGGUGGGGCUUGGUUAGAAAAGACAAAUCACUGUAGAUAUGACCUGGAAGGCGAUAUCUCCCUUCCAAGCUCUUCUCACAGUUCUGUGCUUCCUAGAUGCCAUGAGAUAAGCAGCUUGGCUCCUCCUAGCCCCUUCAACUAUGCUGUUAUGACAUCAAGACAGCUGAGUAUGUACUGCAACCUUUACAAAUGGUGAGCCAAAGUAAACCUUUGGUCAUUUACUUUGUGGGUGUGAGGUAUUGUCUCUAAGCCAUAAGAAAAGUGACUACGGCAUGUACCACCCUUAAAACAGGCAGGCAUACAGUAAAGGGGAAAAAAAACCCUCACUUAUUCAGUGAAAGAAGAAUCUGUGGGAAAAAAACAAGAGUGAAUAUAUUUUAUGAUACUAAUUAAUGUUGGUUAUGAAAUAAUGAUCAAUAUCAUUAACAUAAAAACAUUAAAUCUAAAGAAUGUUCAUAGUAUACAUAAUUAAAACAGUGUCACUGGGUUUGGCAAUCUAUAAGUCAUUGAUAAAUUUGGAAUGACCAUAUUACUAUAUGAAUGAAAUACAGACAUUUGGAUGUGUAAAUUAAAAUAGAAUUUAAAUUUUACUUUAAGAGGGAUGAUCAGUGGAGUUAUGCAGAAAUGUUUCUUGUUCUUUUGAUGAGACCUAAGUAUACGUACAGACAGAUUACAAGGAGCAAAUUGAUGAAUUAAAAAUACUGAUGAAAUCAGACAUCAUAAUUACAGUAAAGGCCCAUAGAAUGUGAUAGAAGAGUAGCAGUGGAGGAGCAUGGAAGGCACUUGCACUUGAAUAGAUCAAAGAAAUACAAUGUUGUUGAGAUGUAGAAUAGGUCAUUCAUACAAAAGAGAGCAAAUGAUUGUGAUAGUGGCAGGAUCAUGAAACAAGAAUUUACUAGCCAUGUACUAAUCAUUUCCCUGAUGAAAGGAAAGCAGAUUUUAUUUAUCUGUGAGACUGAUAAAUAAAAAAAAUAUAUCAGAUGGGAAACAAGGAUCUUGUUCUGAGUAGGGACAUGCAAUGGUCUAAAGGCAGUAUCUUUAUGUGACUUUAGAUGUAAGAGGAUGAACAAGUUGCACUGCAGAUCUGCCAUGGUGAGUUAACUUUAAAAAGAGACAGAAUAAGGUCAUGAUGUGAGAUUGGAGGUAGGCAAAGACCUGGUGAAUAUACAUAACGAUUAAAAGGGGUUUAUUAGUAACAAAUCAUACUUUCCACAAGGAAACGGGGACUGAUGCGAAGGUGGGGAUAGUAGACAGUGAAUUAGAAACAUAAAAAUAUGAGGAGAGAGAGAGAGAGGCAGAGAGAAUGAAAGAACAGAAAUUCCCAUUUGGGCUAUAUUUGGAUAUUGACCAAAGUUAUACAAAGUUAUAAAGGAUGCAAUAAUUUUCCACUGAAUAAAACCAAAAAUAUGCUUCAUCAAAAGCACAGGCUGAGACUUCAGGAAAAAAGCCCUUACAGAGG